GCAUCGAUGAAGAACGCAGCGAAAUGCGAUAAGUAAUGUGAAUUGCAGAAUUCAGUGAAUCAUCGAAUCUUUGAACGCACAUUGCGCCCCCUGGCAUUCCGGGGGGCAUGCCUGUUCGAGCGUCAUUA
rnacentral:rRNA from 1 species